rnacentral:rRNA from 1 species
UGUCCUACGGGACGCAGCAGUAGGGAAUAUUGCUCAAUGGGGGAAACCCUGAAGCAGCAACGCCGCGUGAAGGAAGAAGGAAUUCGUUCUGUAAACUUCUGUUAUAAAGGAAGAAAGACGGAUGGAGGAAAUGACAUCCGAGUGACGGUACUUUAUGAGAAAGCCACGGCUAACUACGUGCCAGCAGCCGCGGUAAUACGUAGGUGGCAAGCGUUAUCCGGAAUUAUUGGGCGUAAAGAGGGAGCAGGCGGCAGCAAAGGUCUGUGGUGAAAGACUGAAGCUUAACUUCAGUAAGCCAUAGAAAC